AGAGAAAUAGCUGGGUCAAAUGGUGGUUCCAUUACAAGUUUUACAAAUAAUCUCCAUACUGAUUUUCAAAUUGGAUGCACCAAUUUGCAGUCCCAUCAGCAAU
rnacentral:pre_miRNA from 1 species